GAAUGAAGGAAGCAUGGUAAGGUGCACAGAGAUUGAAAGAUCAAAGGGUCCUCAUGUCUGCUCGCUCUGAUGCCCUCGGGCCUUGAUUUUGCGGGCCUGGAUUAGACCCACAUUC